AUGUCACUGGCAGGCAGGCUUGAGGUAUUCCAGCCAGGCUGUCCUUCCUGAUCUCUUUCUGCUGUCUGUGUGUGGAUGGAAUGUGAUCACUUCUCUUCCUGAUGGCCAGCCUGGUGCUCGCUCCUUCUGCCAUGCCUUCCCUGUCAUGAUGGACUGUAUCCCAGUGGGGGGAGGGAGAUUGUGACUUGAUUCAAUCACAGAAGCUGACACGUAGCACAACCAGAAGUAGCACCAAAUUCUGACCCCAAGUCCAGAAGCCUUCCUCUCUGCCCUGACAGCUGCAGCAGUAUCUGUGGCUUCUGUUCGCUGCAUGACUGCUGAGCCUUUCUGUGUCCUGUGACUGGUUGCAUCAUCUCUCACCGUCCAGACAUGGUCAGUUCCAGGGCUCCUCCUGGAUAUCCUGUUGUUGCCCUGUGCUGUGGAGACCUGCAGCUUUAGGUCUGCAGGUCACGUGCUCCAGCAGAUCAUAGAUGGGUCACCAGGAGGAAUUUACAGGCCAUGAACUGUACACUCAGGACAUUGCUCAUCUGUCCAGGGUAUCCACCCAUGAGCUCACCCUGAAGAGCCAUCAGCAGGUGUGUUGCAGCACGUACUUCUGAUGUCCCAGACACGCACAGAGUUGUCCAUGGAAGCAGAGGCAACCAGACAACUGUCUGGGCUAAAGGCUGGAAGACCGGUCACAGCCCAGGACUUGCUAAAAACUGACUCAGUGAUUGCAAAAGAGCCCUCCCUUACCCCACACUCACCCAACACAGCCCUGCUGCACAAGACUCCAGUUGAGAGCUGUAUGCUCGGGCUUGAGGCCUCCUACCUCUAUGCAGGUACCUUGCUUUUGCAUCUCCCUCUUCCCAUUAGGGUUAUUACUGGAACAGUUGCAGAACUCCUCUGUAGCAGCUGUAGACAGUGUCUCCUGUGGCUACCCCUCGAGGGAAGUGGUGACAGGAACUAGGAAAGGAAGGGAUGAUCUAUCAGUCUUUCUUUCCAUAAAGAUAGAACUCGGAUUUUAUUAUUAUUAUUAUUAUUAUUAUUAUUAUUAUUAUUAUUAUUAUUAAUUAUUACUGAGGAGGAAACCUAGCACUGGCAGAGGUGUCUCUGCUUCUGUCUGCAGGUUUGACUCCUGGCACUGGCUACGAUACUUGGAAUUUUGAGGUCCAGGGAAUUCAGACUUUGGUAGCCCAUGUAUCAGGAGAAAGGGACACAUAUAAUGGGCUUCUGCAGGCAGGUAGCUUAACUGAACGUUGAGCUCUUGCAGUGAUGGGAGGAGAGAAAGAUUCUUUUACUGGCUGCACUCUGUCAGUACUUCUUUACCCUGGAAGAAAUAUUAUGGUGGGCAUUGGAUGGGCCUCAGCACUUGAUUCGGUUGUCCAAGGUUCCAUCCCUAGCACCAUCAACAAAAAUUAUGAUAAAGAAUAAUUUUGGAUAAUUCUCAAAAUAGACUUAAAAGCUGGAUUUGCAGAUGACUGUUUGUUCUGAGAUUCGGAUUUUUGGUGUCUUUUUCUCCUUCAAUGAUCUGCUUCCACCCCUCACUGCAGUAAAGUACCAGUAUAGUGGACACAGGAAUGAAUCAUGAGUGUGCACUCAUGAACAGCAAACCAUGCUCUAAGGACAAAGAAAGUUCUAAUGUGUGGAAAUGUUUUCUGAAAAGAAUUAUU
ensembl:lncRNA